rnacentral:rRNA from 1 species
GACGAACGCUGGCGGCGUGCCUAACACAUGCAAGUCGAACGCAGUGGGGACGGGGGAGUAACACGUGGGUAACCUCCCAUCAGAGGGGAUAACACUUGGAAACAGGUGCUAAACAGAUACAGAUGGAGGGACCAGCGGUGCAGUAGCUAGUUGGUGAGGGAACGGCGCACCAAGGCCACGAUGCAUACCCGACCUGGGAGAGAGUUCGGCCACACUGGGACGAAGACACGGCCCAGACUCCUACGGGAGGCAGCAGUAGGGAAUCUUCGGCAAUGUACGAAAGUCUGACCGAGCAACGCCGCGUGAGUGAAGAAGGUUUUCGGAUCGUAAAGCUCUGUUGUUAGAGAAGCGUUAUCUAACCAGAAGGCCACGGCUAACUACGUGCCAGCAGCCGCGGUAAUAC